rnacentral:rRNA from 1 species
GGCUCAGGAUGAACGCUAGCUACAGGCUUAACACAUGCAAGGUCGAGGGGCAGCACAAGGCAGCAAUGCUGAGGUGGCGACCGGCGCACGGGUGCGUAACGCGUAUCCAACCUUCCCGUUACUCUUGGAUAGCCUUCCGAAAGGGAGAUUAAUACAAGAUGGUGUUGAAAUUCCGCAUGUUAUUUCAACUAAAGAUUUAUCGGUAACGGAUGGGGAUGCGUGACAUUAGAUAGAUGGCGGGGUAACGGCCCACCAUGUCCACGAUGUCUAGGGGUUCUGAGAGGAAGGUCCCCCACACUGGAACUGAGACACGGUCCAGACUCCUACGGGAGGCAGCAGUGAGGAAUAUUGGUCAAUGGCCGGAAGGCUGAACCAGCCAAGUAGCGUGAAGGAUGAAGGUUCUAUGGAUUGUAAACUUCUUUUAUGAGGGAAUAAAACCUCCCACGUGUGGGAGCUUGUAUGUACCUUAUGAAUAAGCAUCGGCUAACUCCGUG